rnacentral:rRNA from 1 species
UACGGAGGGGGCUAGCGUUGUUCGGAAUUACUGGGCGUAAAGCGCACGUAGGCGGCUUUGCAAGUCAGGGGUGAAAUCCUGGAGCUCAACUCCAGAACUGCCUUUGAUACUGGGGAUCUCGAGUCCGGAAGAGGUGAGUGGAACUCCGAGUGUAGAGGUGAAAUUCGUAGAUAUUCGGAAGAACACCAGUGGCGAAGGCGGCUCACUGGUCCGGUACUGACGCUGAGGUGCGAAAGCGUGGGGAGCAAACAGG